CUGGACCAGCCUUGCCACGUGAUCCUCCUCCGAUGGGCUUUUGGCGGCAAACAGAGAAGACGAGGCUCAGGCCCGCCUGGUUGCCUUCGCAGCGUCCUGGGUCACGUGACGUGCUGUUCAUGGUGAGAAGGAGGUGUGCUACUGUGUUGGAGUUUCCUAAAAGCUGUUGCAUUGGUGUGGUCCAGUGAAGAGGUGUUGAAGUGGCUGCUGCAUGCCCAGGAUGCAUAGGUUGAGAAAGAAAAUUCAUCUUUGUGGGACUGCACAAAUAAUGGGUCUGGAGGUGAAGACAUUCAGAGCAUUUCUUUCAAAUAUCGUGUUCAACGCUUUAUUUCUUUGUCAAAAUAGACGUCCAAACUCUCCAGCCAGCGAACAACGUUGCUGAAUGUGUGCAUGAAGCUGGAUUUCACCAGUUAUGAUGUAAACUUCAAAGAAAUGUGCAAAAAGAUUCAGCAGCAGUCCCAUUAA